AUUGAACGCUGGCGGCAGGCCUAACACAUGCAAGUCGAACGAGUGGCGGACGGGUUAGUAAUGACUGGGAAUCUGGCUGAUGGAGGGGGAUAACGACCGUAAACUGUAGCUAAUCACGCGUACCAUCGGCUGGGCACAAGUGGGUUGAUGUAGUUGGUGGGGUAAAGGCCUACCAAGGCGACGAUCUCUAGCUGGUCUGAGAGGAUGCCCAGCCACACGGGAACUGAGACACGGUCCGGACUCCUACGGGAGGCAGCAGUGGGGAAUAUUGCGCAAUGGGAGCAACCCUGAUGCAGCCAUGCCGCGUGAAGGAAGAAGGCCUUCGGGUUGUAAAGUACUUUCGGUGAGGAGGCGUUAAUCACAGAAGAAGCACAGGCUAACUACGUGCCAGCAGCCGCGGUAAUAC
rnacentral:rRNA from 1 species